rnacentral:tRNA from 1 species
AAAAAUUUAGUUAAUGUUAUAACAUUAGUUUGUCAAACUAAAAUAAUUUUAAAAUAAAAUAAUUUUUA